AUUACUAAGCGGAGGAAAAGAAACUAAAUAGGAUUCCCCUAGUAACGGCGAGUGAAGCGGGAAAAGCCCAGCACCGAAUCCCCUGCCUUCGGUAGUGGGAACUGUGGUGUUUGGGACGUCGGCUGUGUGGUCUCCUUCCGUCCGAGUCCUCCUGAUCGGGGCUUCACCCAUAGCGGGUGUCAGGCCUCUACGGCGGACUGGGGGCCGCGCUCUAGGCGUCCUAGGAGUCGGGUUGUUUGGGAUUGCAGCCCAAAGUGGGUGGUAUACUCCAUCUAAGGCUAAAUACUGACACGAGUCCGAUAG
rnacentral:rRNA from 1 species